AUGGCUUCCUUCCACAACUUUGUGUUACUGCUUCUGUUAACAGCCACUCUUAUUUUAGUCACUGAAGCCGCUCAGGAACGUCGUCGAGCAAUACCAUCGGAAGAAGAGAAAAAAGAAUUUGAGAGACAACAAUUCAAAGCUAUCAACAAACCUGCAAUCAAGAGUUUCAAGUCAUCUGUUCAGCUGAAGCCAACGAAUGCACCUGAAUGGAUCACAAGCAACAACAUUUUAUGGGAAGCUGAUCCCUUACAAUAUUUGCAAGAGGAAAUAAACUGCCCAGAUGGAACAGUAAUUGUAAAAAGGACUACAAUGCAAGAUCUUAUGCUUGCAAAGCGUUUAAAAUCCAUAGGAUUCAAUGGUCCAUUAAACUUUCUUACAGAGAGAAAUAACACUGAUGUAACUGGACCAUAUUAUGUUGCAACGGUUAACUUCGGACCUAGCAAUUUUUAUGGAGUAAAAGGAAAUCUUAACCUGUGGGGUCCACAAGUCUCGCAAGAUCAAAUGAGUGGCGCAUUCAUGGCAGUUGCUGUUGGGUGGAUGGUAAGUCCCUUUCUGUUGGGUGGAUGGUGGAUCCAUCGCUGUACCAAAUCUCUCAAUAUCAUGUUCACUUAUACGCAUACUGGGGUAAAGAUAAUGACAAGUCCGGCUGCUAUGACAUAACAUGUCCUGGGUUUGUGCAAGUCAGCAAGACCAUACCACUUGGUGCCCUUCUUCAACCAGUUUCCGUUUAUAAUGGGACACAAUAUGAAAUAAGGUUGAGCUUGUAUCAGGAUCUUGCCAAUGGAGAUUGGUGGUUUGCAUAUAACGAUGAGAACGUUGGAUACUGGCCUGCGUCAUUAUUCCUGGACUCAGGCUUUGAUAAAAGAGCAAAUUAUGCAGCUUGGGGAGGUCAAGUGUACAGUCCGGUGACAGAGAAGGCUCCAGUUAUGGGAAGUGGGAAUUGGCCUAGGGAGGGUUUAAGCAAGGCAGCCUAUGUGAACAGUAUCAAAGUCAUCACUGGUUUUAAAAAGGUUAUAGAUCCUGAAAUCAACCGUCUGAAGGCACGUGAAACCAGUUUGAAGUGUUACAGAACCUUGUAUGGUAAUGGGGAUAAAGAACCUUGGUUAAGAACUCUUUAUUAUGGAGGUGAUGCUGGAUGCAUUGAGACAUGAUCUAUGAUUUGAGGUGUUACAAGAUAUAUAUGCUUUUAUGGAUUACUAAAAGUUUCUUGAAUCCCUUUACAUACAUUGAGAAUAUAUGAUAUUUAAGCUAUAACUUAA